rnacentral:rRNA from 1 species
CAAUAGCGUAUAUUAAAGUUGUUGCGGUUAAAAAGCUCGUAGUUGGAUUUCUGUCUAGGGUGGCCGGUACCCACUAUGUGAAGUAUCUGGUUCAGUCUGGGCAUCCUCUUGGGGAUCGUUCCUGUGCUUGAUUGCAUGGGGCGGAAUUCAAGACUUUUACUUUGAGGAAAUUAGAGUGUUCACGGCAAGCUUUCGCUUUGAAUACAUUAGCAUGGAAUAAUAAGAUAGGACCUCGGUUCUAUUUUUUCGGUUUCUAGAGCUGAGGUAAUGAUUAACAGGGAUAGUUGGGGGCAUUCGUAUUUAACUGUCAGAGGUGAAAUUCUUGGAUUUGUUAAAGACGAACUACUGCGAAAGCAUUUGCCAAGGAUGUUUUCAUUGAUCAAGAACGAAAGUUAGGGGAUCGAAGACGAUUAGAUACCGU